rnacentral:pre_miRNA from 1 species
ACAAAAAUUACCUAGGAAUUUUGCUAAAAUGCCAAUUCUGAUUCAGUAGAUUUGGAUGGAGCUGGAGAGUCUGCAUUUAUUAUUAGCUCCCAGGUGAUUGGUGA